UACGUAGGGUGCAAGCGUUAAUCGGAAUUAUUGGGCGUAAAGGGUGCGUAGGCGGUUUGUUAAGUCGGGUGUGAAAGCCCCGGGCUCAACCUGGGAAUUGCAUUCGAGACUGAAUAGCUAGGGUACGGUAGAGGGAAGCGGAAUUUCCGGUGUAGCGGUGAAAUGCGUAGAUAUCGGAAGGAACAUCAGUGGCGAAAGCGGCUUCCUGGACCAGUACCGACGUUCAGGCACGAAAGCGUGGGGAGCAAACAGG
rnacentral:rRNA from 1 species